AUUGAACGCUGGCGGCAGGCCUAACACAUGCAAGUCGAACGAGUGGCGGACGGGUGAGUAAUGUCUGGGAAACUGCCCGAUGGAGGGGGAUAACUACUGGAAACGGUAGCUAAUACCGCAAACCAUCGGAUGUGCCCAGAUGGGAUUAGCUGGUAGGUGGGGUAACGGCUCACCUAGGCGACGAGCCCUAGUUGGUCUGAGAGGAUGACCAGCACCACUGGAACUUAGACACGGUCCAGAUGCCUGCGUGAGGCAGCAGUGGGGAAUUUUGCACAAUGGGCGCAAUCCUGAUGCAGCCUUGCCGCGUGUAUGAUGAAGGCCUUCGGGUUGUAAAGUACUUUCAGCGAGGAGGCGUUACUCGCAGAAGAAGCACCGGCUAACUCCGUGCCAGCAGCCGCGGUAAUUC
rnacentral:rRNA from 1 species